GAAGCAGGGAGGGCCCGUGGGCACCAGCGUCCAGGGCGAGAUUCGCUACGAAGACCAGGUCUUGGUGACGCUGUCUGCCAUCAUUACCUCG
rnacentral:SRP_RNA from 1 species